rnacentral:rRNA from 1 species
UACAGAGGUCUCAAGCGUUGUUCGGAUUUACUGGGCGUAAAGCGCGUGUAGGCGGCUUCGCAAGUUGGAUGUGAAAGCCCACGGCUCAACCGUGGAAGCGCAUCCAAAACUGCGUCGCUUGAGUCUCGGAGAGGAAGGUGGAAUGCUUGGUGUAGAGGUGAAAUUCGUAGAUAUCAAGCAGAACACCUGCGGCGAAGGCGGCCUUCUGGACGAUGACUGACGCUGAGACGCGAAAGCGUGGGGAGCAAACAGG